rnacentral:lncRNA from 1 species
GGUGAACCACAUUAUUUUGUGUUUGCUUCCCUGUCCCUAUCCAUUUACAUAUUUAUCCACACUAGUGACCGGAGCAAUCUAGCGAAGGUCACAAACUUAACAUUUUCUGUUGUACCAAAGUCCUCACUGAUUUUGUGCAUCAACAUUUGGCGUCGUCUGUGGGAAACAACACGAAAAGCUAUGUCGAUUCUCUUUCAUUUUUUUACCUCCGCCGUGAAUUUGCAGAAACCUAGAACCUCCCUCGGCUGUUUCAAAAAAAAAAAAAACCUUCGUAGAUCUCUCUCUCUGUUUUGCUUGGCCUCAACUGGGCCUCAUGAAAAAUACUUUGGGGACUUAGCCCAUUACUUAUGUAUUGAGGAGCGAGCCCUUAUUCUAUAAAAAUGACUCCCUUACUUUCAUUAGGGAGCAUCCAUUAUUCAUGUAUUGAUGAGUGAGCCCUUAUUUUAUAAAAGGGACUCCCUCACCAUCAUUAAAGAGCAAUACCACCUCCGAACAACCGCCACUUCGGCCCAUCUCUGGAUUUAAUUUGAAGUCUCUAGCCAACAGACUCUAUUGACCAAAGACUUGGGGGACUACAUUAUGUACCAUAUAUUGGGCCUCAACUAGGCCUCAUGAAAAAUACUUGGGGGACUUAGCCCAUUAUUUAUGUAUUGAGGAGCGAUACCUUAUACUAUAAAAUGAACUCCCUCACCACCAUUAGAGAGCAUCAACUCUAGCCCAUUAUUCAUGUAUUGAUGAGCGAGCCCUUAUUUUAUAAAAGGGACUCCCUCACCAUCAUUAGAGAGCAUCAACUCUAGCCCAUUAUUCAGGUAUUGAGGAGCGAGCCCUUAUUCUAUAAAAGGGACUCCCUCACCAUCAUUAGAGAGCAUCGCCGCUUACUGAGCAACCGUCUCGCCGCGAGCAUCAACUCUAGCCCAUAUUUAUGUAUUGAGGAGCGAGCCCUUAUUCUAUAAAAGGGACUCCCUCACCUUCAAAUGCCACAAGCCGAGCCAACCAAGGCAACAUAAGCCACAAGCAGAGUAGCCUUGCAACAUGUGCUACUUCUAGUUGAGCAUCAUUUCAGAGUGAGCACCGCCUCAUAUCGAGUAUCAGUUCUAGAUGACAUCUAGUUACUUCGGCCCUCACAUGGACUGAAUUUCAAGUCUCCAACCAAAAGACUCUCUUGACUGAAGAUUUUGGGGAUUACUGUUUAUACCAUACUUAGGGCCUCCGUAUUUAGAUCUCAUAUAAAUACUCGGGGGACUGGAGUGUAAUUAUGUAAUAAAAGAAGGGGCAAAUAUGUAAUAAGUGAGGAGCCCUUAUUCUAUAAAAGGACUAUUCACCCUCACAAUUGGAGGAGGCCAACUCUUAGGCCUGAAGCCCCCUCACCCUCUCACAUUACAGAGGUUCUCUCCCUCACAAUCCUCUCAGAGAAAUACAAUAUCAGUGUGGACGUAACCCAAACGUUGGGGUGAACCACGAUACAUCUUGUGUUAUUUACAUUUCAUGCAGAUUUACGUUGUUCCAAGACCUCUAGUUUUGUGCAUCAACAAAAGUAGCAUGUAUGUUGCUUUUAAAGUUGUCUUAAUAAAAAGUAGAGUUAAGCCUUUAAUGAUUAUUUUUUAAUUCGAUCAUUAAUUUAAAACAAUUACAGUAUGCAUCCGUCUUGACACAAUUUAUCUUUGGAGAGUGACCACCACCACUUACUAUUACAAAUGCUCCUUCUACACUAUCAUUGCCACUAUCACCACCAUU